GACGAACGCUGGCGGCGUGCCUAAUACAUGCAAGUCGAACGCUUCUUUCCUCCCGAGUGCUUGCACUCAAUUGGAAAGAGGAGUGGCGGACGGGUGAGUAACACGUGGGUAACCUACCCAUCAGAGGGGGAUAACACUUGGAAACAGGUGCUAAUACCGCAUAACAGUUUAUGCCGCAUGGCAUAAGAGUGAAAGGCGCUUUCGGGUGUCGCUGAUGGAUGGACCCGCGGUGCAUUAGCUAGUUGGGGAGGUAACGGCUCACCAAGGCCACGAUGCAUAGCCGACCUGAGAGGGUGAUCGGCCACACUGGGACUGCGACACGGCCCAGACUCCUACGGGAGGCAGCAGUAGGGAAUCUUCGGCAAAGGACGAAAGUCUGACCGAGCAACGCCGCGUGAGUGAAGAAGGUUUUCGGAUCGUAAAACUCUGUUGUUAGAGAAGAACAAGGACGUUAGUAACUGAACGUCCCCUGACGGUAUCUAACCAGAAAGCCACGGCUAACUACGUG
rnacentral:rRNA from 1 species